GCUAACAAGCUAAUGGUGGCUUUGACUUCUGUGUUUACAGAGGAACUUUUACCCUUAGUGAGGUGGUUUUGGACUUUCAGCAGUUUUUGACCGCUAAUGUGGGACACAGAGGCCGAGUGGACUGGUUAUACUGGGACAAGGAGGCCGAGUGGACUGGUUAUACUGGGAUUGUGAGGAGGCUGAGUGAACUGUUACUUUAGGCUAUGCCUUGACCAAGAGAAGUUGAACUUGUCUGGAGCAGAUUGAAGAGGACUUCAUGGUACUCAAGACUCAGACUGACGUUCAAACAGCCUGUCAGCUCUCCCGUCCUCAAGAAGGCUCAGUGUGUGCAUCAUAUCCUCGCAUCAGCCCGGUGUGUUUUGCUCUUGGUCUGCCUCUGUCUGGGCUGGAUACAGCUCAGCAUACGUAUGGGACUUGAGAUGACAUCACAGCUGCUCACUUGAGAGUUGCCCCCUCUUUCUCAAAUCGAAACAGGGUUGUACCGUUGUCUUUGCCCUUCACAAAGCUCUCCCACUCUCGGAACCACUGCAUGCUGAUGCACAGGAUCACCGUCGGAGCCUCUUCAGCCUGAAACUCUUUAUUCAGCUACAGACGAGAGAAAACUGCUCGUUCAACAUCCAACACAGAGACAUAUUCCUGCACAGUGCCAUGGUGACAGAUGACUGACAGCAGGUCGUAAGUGGUGACCUGGGAUGGACUCUCUUUAGCCAGGAAAGGUCGCAUGUCGAGGCCCUCCAACGGGAAGGACACGUGGCUGCUAAUCUUGAACGAAUACAUGACCUCGUGCCGGAAGCGUUUCAGGUGUACGCAGGUCCUGCAGAGCGGAGGGGACUGGAGCGAGGUUGACUGGAGGACAGUUUGGGAUGCAGCUCCUGAAUGGUUCGCACAGGACUGCAGGGAGUGGACUGGGGCUGGGGCAUUGACGCUUCAUUGUCUGGCUCUAGAAAACAGCACAUUGAAUGCACAGAAUUGACAGGAGCCCCCUCCUCAGCUGCUGUAUCCACAUCAGCAUCCUCAUCCAUCUCUUGCGAGCCUCCACGAAGGGGUGAGCCAGACACCCUCCUUUCCUUCAGCCUCUCCUUCUCCGAGAUCACCCCGCC